CGGCGUGCUUAACACAUGCAAGUCGAACGCUGAAGCCUAGCUUGCUGGGUGGAUGAGUGGCGAACGGGUGAGUAACACGUGAGUAACCUGCCCCCUUCUUUGGGAUAACGCCCGGAAACGGGUGCUAAUACUGGAUAUUCACUGAUCUUCGCAUGGGGGUUGGUGGAAAGGUUUGUUCUGGUGGGGGAUGGGCUCGCGGCCUAUCAGCUUGUUGGUGGGGUGAUGGCCUACCAAGGCUUUGACGGGUAGCCGGCCUGAGAGGGUGACCGGUCACAUUGGGACUGAGAUACGGCCCAGACUCCUACGGGAGGCAGCAGUGGGGAAUAUUGCACAAUGGGCGAAAGCCUGAUGCAGCGACGCCGCGUGAGGGAUGGAGGCCUUCGGGUUGUAAACCUCUUUCGCUCAUGGUCAAGCCGCAACAUUGGUUGUGGUGAGGGUAGUGGGUAAAGAAGCGCCGGCUAACUACGUGCCAGCAGCCGCGG
rnacentral:rRNA from 1 species